AGCGAACGCUGGCGGCAGGCCUAACACAUGCAAGUCGAACGGAUCCUUCGGGAUUAGUGGCGGACGGGUGAGUAACACGUGGGAACGUGCCCUUUGGUUCGGAACAACUCAGGGAAACUUGAGCUAAUACCGGAUGUGCCCUUCGGGGGAAAGAUUUAUCGCCAUUGGAGCGGCCCGCGUCUGAUCAGCUAGUUGGUGAGGUAACGGCCCACCAAGGCGACGAUCAGUAGCUGGUCUGAGAGGAUGAUCAGCCACACUGGGGCUGAGACACGGCCCAGACUCCUACGGGAGGCAGCAGUGGGGAAUCUUGCGCAAUGGGCGAAAGCCUGACGCAGCCAUGCCGCGUGAAUGAUGAAGGUCUUAGGAUUGUAAAAUUCUUUCAGCGGGGACGAUAAUGACGGUACCCGCAGAAGAAGCUCCGGCUAACUUCGUG
rnacentral:rRNA from 1 species